rnacentral:rRNA from 1 species
GAGUUUGAUUAUGGCUCAGGAUGAACGCUGGCGGCGUGCCUAACACAUGCAAGUCGAGCGCGGUUGUGCUUAGUAUUGAGUGUUUUAUUGAUAUAAAACAUUGAAUUCUAUGCACAACUGAGCGGCGGACGGGUGAGUAACGCGUGGGUAACCUGCCCUAUACACAUGGAUAACAUACUGAAAAGUUUACUAAUACAUGAUAAAAUAGUUUUUCGGCAUCGAAGAAUUAUCAAAGUGUUAGCGGUAUAGGAUGGACCCGCGUCUGAUUAGCUAGUUGGUGAGAUAACUGCCCACCAAGGCGACGAUCAGUAGCCGACCUGAGAGGGUGAUCGGCCACAUUGGAACUGAGACACGGUCCAAACUCCUACGGGAGGCAGCAGUGGGGAAUAUUGCACAAUGGGCGCAAGCCUGAUGCAGCAACGCCGCGUGAACGAUGAAGGUCUUCGGAUCGUAAAGUUCUGUUGCAGGGGAAGAUAAUGACG